UACGUAGGGCGCAAGCGUUGUCCGGAAUUAUUGGGCGUAAAGAGCUCGUAGGCGGUUUGUCGCGUCUGCCGUGAAAGCCCGCGGCUCAACCGCGGGUCUGCAGUCGAUACGGGCAGGCUAGAGUUCGGUAGGGGAGACUGGAAUUCCUGGUGUAGCGGUGAAAUGCGCAGAUAUCAGGAGGAACACCGAUGGCGAAGGCAGGUCUCUGGGCCGAUACUGACGCUGAGGAGCGAAAGCGUGGGGAGCGAACAGG
rnacentral:rRNA from 1 species